rnacentral:rRNA from 1 species
CCUACGGGAGACAGCAGUCGAGAAUCAUUCACAAUGGGGGAAACCCUGAUGGUGCGACGCCGCGUGGGGGAAUGAAGGUCUUCGGAUUGUAAACCCCUGUCAUGUGGGAGCAAAUUAAAAAGAUAGUACCACAAGAGGAAGAGACGGCUAACUCUGUGCCAGCAGCCGCGGUAAGACAGAGGUCUCAAGCGUUGUUCGGAACCACUGGGCGUAAAGCGUGCGUAGGCUGUUUCGUAAGUCGUGUGUGAAAGGCGCGGGCUCAACCCGCGGACGGCACAUGAUACUGCGAGACAAGAGUAAUGGAGGGGGAACCGGAAUUCUCGGUGUAGCAGUGAAAUGCGUAGAUAUCGAGAGGAACACUCGUGGCGAAGGCGGGUUCCUGGACAUUAACUGACGCUGAGGCACGAAGGCCAGGGGAGCGAAAGGGAUUAGAUACCCGAGUAGUC